UACGUAGGGGGCAAGCGUUGUCCGGAUUCAUUGGGCGUAAAGGAGCGUGUAGGCGGCCAGGUAGGUCGGUUGUGAAAACUGGAGGCUCAACCUUCAGAGGUCGACCGAAACCAUCUGGCUAGAAGUCCGGGAGAGGAGAGUGGAAUUCCUGGUGUAGGCGGUGAAAUGCGCAGAUAUACAGGAAGAACACCCGUGGCGAAAGCGGCUCUCUGGAACGGUACUGACGCUGAGACGCGAAAGCGUGGGGAGCGAACAGG
rnacentral:rRNA from 1 species